AGUAUUUGGUCUCUAGCUGUUGUUUUGAUUUGAGUUGGUAUUACCGAGAAAAUUUAUCACAAUGAGCCACGGCAAGCAUGAGUUAUCUGUUCUUCCUUCAAUAUCAACGUGUUAUUAUUUUUAAUUACAUUAGGAGUGCAUUUGAGAUUGAUGUUAGAAAAUUGUAAUUUAAAAAAUAUAAUAUUAAAAUAUUUGAUAAUUAUUAAUUAUUGUAGUUCGAAAG
rnacentral:lncRNA from 1 species